rnacentral:tRNA from 1 species
GGGGUUGUGGCUCAGCGGUAGAGUGCUCUCCUAGCACGUCUGAGGCCCUGGGUUCGAUCCUCAGCACCACA